rnacentral:lncRNA from 1 species
CCAAUUUUAAGCUCCUUGACAUGGCGAAAUUUUAGUAUAAAUCCUUUAAGCAUCUCUUCUUCCGUUUCUUGAUGUACUAGCCCCCCAUUCCCGGCCUUGUUAUAAUCUAAGUUAACUUCGACUAAAGAAGACACAUUUACCAACAAAAGCUUCCACAAAAACAGGUUACCUUGGAUUGUCAGUGAUAAAAUAUUAGGAGCAUUAAUUUUGAUAAUAUGGGCACCCAAUGGAUUAUCAAAAACAAUGUAUCCAGAGAACACGAACUUCUUAACGCUCUUUGAAGUAAUAUCGAUUCGCCUAAAACCACAGCAAAGCUGCAAUACCAAAGUUUCCAAUAGAGGACUACCGGAUAAUAUGUUUUCAAUCACAUCUUCAUCUAAUUUCCCACUGUAUAUACACAAACUCCUAAGAUUUUUCCAACUAAUUGCCCCGAUCGGAUUGACUAUACAGCCUUGUAAUUUCAGAUCAGUAAAACAUGUGUUGAUGAAAAAAAUUUGAUCUAACAAAAACUUCGCUUCCAAACCAGGUAACCUUAUAUUAAGAUCUUCAACAUUACAUCUCAGAGCAAAACGAAUCCAAUUGUUGAUUUGCUGUUCAAAUCCAACAACUCUACUUUAAUAACUGGUGUAAACGAAUUUUUUAAGCUUUAAUUUGCGACAUUGAGUUAGGGUUUUGUCGACGCACAACACGAAAUCGAACCACAGGUGACUAAAAUCAUGUUUGAAAAUUAGAGUAGGUACCAAAGUCCAAAGAGGUUUCCAUCGCUUGGAGAUUGCACCUGUUCUAAUGGCCUCUUUUGUGGAAGGUNGAUUAUCAAAAACAAUGUAUCCAGAGAACACGAACUUCUUAACGCUCUUUGAAGUAAUAUCGAUUCGCCUAAAACCACAGCAAAGCUGCAAUACCAAAGUUUCCAAUAGAGGACUACCGGAUAAUAUGUUUUCAAUCACAUCUUCAUCUAAUUUCCCACUGUAUAUACACAAACUCCUAAGAUUUUUCCAACUAAUUGCCCCGAUCGGAUUGACUAUACAGCCUUGUAAUUUCAGAUCAGUAAAACAUGUGUUGAUGAAAAAAAUUUGAUCUAACAAAAACUUCGCUUCCAAACCAGGUAACCUUAUAUUAAGAUCUUCAACAUUACAUCUCAGAGCAAAACGAAUCCAAUUGUUGAUUUGCUGUUCAAAUCCAACAACUCUACUUUAAUAACUGGUGUAAACGAAUUUUUUAAGCUUUAAUUUGCGACAUUGAGUUAGGGUUUUGUCGACGCACAACACGAAAUCGAACCACAGGUGACUAAAAUCAUGUUUGAAAAUUAGAGUAGGUACCAAAGUCCAAAGAGGUUUCCAUCGCUUGGAGAUUGCACCUGUUCUAAUGGCCUCUUUUGUGGAAGGUAAACGAGAGAGGAUUUCAAGAAGCAAACAAUCCGACAACGCACUGAAUCGAUCGUCUUGCCUUCUCCGCGACUUUUCGAGAUUUUCUCCGUUUUGGGGCAAUUUGAGGUUGAUAUUGUCCUUCUUCCUGCGUCUCCAUGGCGGAAACAGACCUGUCGUCGCUUUACCACAUAGACCACUUCAAUAGAACUCUAGUUAAAAACAGAUGAUGAAAUCAAAAUCAAGUUUUG